GUGGGGAAUUUUUCGCAAUGGGGGAAACCCUGACGAAGCAACGCCGCGUGGAGGAUGAAGGCCUUCGGGUCGUAAACUCCUGUCGACCGGGACGAACGUAGUCGGGUCCAAUACACCCGGCUAUCGACUGUACCGGUGGAGGAAGCCACGGCUAACUCUGUGCCAGCAGCCGCGGUAAUACAGAGGUGGCAAGCGUUGUUCGGAAUUACUGGGCGUAAAGGGCGCGUAGGCGGUUCGUUAAGUCCUGUGUGAAAUCCCCCGGCUCAACUGGGGAACUGCACAGGAAACUAGCGGGCUUGAGUUCGGGAGAGGGAAGCGGAAUUCCGGGUGUAGCGGUGAAAUGCGUAGAUAUCCGGAGGAACACCGGUGGCGAAGGCGGCUUCCUGGACCGACACUGACGCUGAGGCGCGAAAGCUAGGGGAGCAAACGGGAUUAGAUACCCCUGUAGUCC
rnacentral:rRNA from 1 species